rnacentral:snoRNA from 12 species
UAGCUCGGUUUCCUGGGAGGUGGGCUUAGUCUGACCCACCUCCCCUCAGACGAGCUGAGAGUAGAGAGGCCGGGCUUCCUCCCCAUGGGAGAGGUGGUUACGAGAGGAGCCUCACCUAGACUGUCCUUGCCUCACAUUU